GGAUUAAUACCCCGUAACAUAACCGAGUGGCAUCACUUGGUUAUUAUAGCUUCGGCGCUAAAUGAUGGGUGUGCGUAUGAUUAGAUAGUUGGCGAGGUAACGGCUCACCAAGUCUACGAUCAUUAGCUGAUGUGAGAGCAUGAUCAGCCACACGGGCACUGAGACACGGGCCCGACUCCUACGGGAGGCAGCAGUAAGGAAUAUUGGUCAAUGGACGCAAGUCUGAACCAGCUAUGCCGCGUGAAGGAUUAAGGUCCUCUGGAUUGUAAACUUCUUUUAUCUGGGACGAAAAAAGGUCUUUCUAGACCCCUUGACGGUACCAGAUGAAUAAGCACCGGCUAACUCCGUGCCAGCAGCCGCGGUAAUACGGAGGGUGCAAGCGUUAUCCGGAUUCACUGGGUUUAAAGGGUGCGUAGGCGGGCAGGUAAGUCAGUGGUGAAAUCCUGGAGCUCAACUCCAGAACUGCCAUUGAUACUAUCUGUCUUGAAUAUUGUGGAGGUAAGCGGAAUAUGUCAUGUAGCGGUGAAAUGCUUAGAUAUGACAUAGAACACCCAUUGCGAAGGCAGCUUACUACGCAUAUAUUGACGCUGAGGCACGAAAGCGUGGGGAUCAAACAGGAUUAGAUACCCUGGUAGUCCACGCCCUAAACGAUGGAUACUCGACAUACGCGAUACACUGUGUGUGUCUGAGCGAAAGCAUUAAG
rnacentral:rRNA from 1 species